AACGAACGCUGGCGGCAGGCCUAACACAUGCAAGUCGAGCGCCCCGCAAGGGGAGCGGCGGACGGGUGAGUAACGCGUGGGAACGUGCCUCUUGCUAUGGAAUAGCCUCGGGAAACUGGGAGUAAUACCGUAUGUGCCCUACGGGGGAAAGAUUUAUCGGCAAGAGAUCGGCCCGCGUUGGAUUAGGUAGUUGGUGGGUAAUGGCCUACCAAGCCGACGAUCCAUAGCUGGUUUGAGAGGAUGAUCAGCCACACUGGGACUGAGACACGGCCCAGACUCCUACGGGAGGCAGCAGUGGGGAAUCUUAGACAAUGGGCGCAAGCCUGAUCUAGCCAUGCCGCGUGAGCGAUGAAGGCCUUAGGGUUGUAAAGCUCUUUCAGUGGGAAGAUAAUGACUGUACCCACAGAAGAAGCCCCGGCUAACUCCGUGCCAGCAGCCGCGGUAAU
rnacentral:rRNA from 1 species